rnacentral:rRNA from 1 species
UGGGGAAUUUUGGACAAUGGGCGAAAGCCUGAUCCAGCAAUGCCGCGUGUGUGAAGAAGGCCUUCGGGUUGUAAAGCACUUUUGUCCGGAAAGAAAUCCUCUGGGUUAAUACCUCGGGGGGAUGACGGUACCGGAAGAAUAAGCACCGGCUAACUGCGUGCCAGCAGCCGCGGUAAUACGUAGGGUGCAAGCGUUAAUCGGAAUUACUGGGCGUAAAGCGUGCGCAGGCGGUUUUGUAAGACGGAUGUGAAAUCCCCGGGCUUAACCUGGGAACUGCAUUCGUGACUGCAAGGCUAGAGUAUGGCAGAGGGGGGUAGAAUUCCACGUGUAGCAGUGAAAUGCGUAGAGAUGUGGAGGAAUACCGAUGGCGAAGGCAGCCCCCUGGGCCAAUACUGACGCUCAUGCACGAAAGCGUGGGGAGCAAACAGGAUUAGAUACCCUGGUAGUCCACGCCCUAAACGAUGUCAACUAGUUGUUGGGGAUUCAUUUCCUUAGUAACGUAGCUAACGCGUGAAGUUGACCGCCUGGGGAGUACGGUCGCAAGAUUAAAACUCAAAUGAAUUGAC